CUCCCCCGCCCGCCCGCACGGCCGCCCCACGCUUAACCCUCGACGCACCGGAGGAGGAAGGAGGAGGGAGAAGAGAUGGAGAGGAUGGUGAAGAGGAAGGAGAGAGGAGAGGAGGAAGAGGAGAGGGAGGGAGGAGGAAGAAGAGAUGGAGAAGGAGGAAAGCCAAGAAGAGUAGGAAUAGGAAGGAGAGGAGGUAGAAGAAGAGAAGGAAAAGGAGAAGUGGAAGAGCAAGGAGAGGAGGUAGAAGAGAAAGAAGAAGGAGGAAAAAGAAAAGAGGAGGAGGACGAAGGAGAAGAGGACGAAGAGGAGAGGGAGGGAGGGAGAAAGAGGAGGAGGAACAAGAGAUGGAGAAGGAGGAAGGCGAAGAAGAGUAGGAAUAGGAAGGAGAGGAGUUAGUAGAAGAAGAGAACGAAGAAAGAAAAGGAGAAGAGGAGGAUGAGGAAGGAAAAGUAAAGAGGAGGAGGGAGAAGGGUGAAGAGAAGGAAGAGGAGGAGGAAGAAAAGAAAGAAGGAAAAGGAGUAAAAGAGGAGGAAGGGAGUGAGAGGGAAUAGAAGGAGUAGAGGAGGAGGGGGAGAAGAAGAGGAGGAGGAAGAGAUGGAGAGGGAGAGAGGCGAGGAGGAAGAGGAAGAUGAAGGAGAAGAAAGGAGGUUUUUUUCAUAUUCUGGAAUAUCAUUUUUUUUCCUUUUUUUCAUAUUCUGAGAUACAGUAAAGGUGGGACCCAAGUCAAAACACAACAUAUGUUUGUUUUGUACAGGAUGAGUUUCUCUUGUCUGAAAUUCUUGGCACCAGAAGUAUUUGAGGUAUCUCCCUUCCCCAUUCAAUUUUGGGGAUACCUCAUUUUGGGGGCAGGAAGCAGGGGCAUGAUUAUUAUGUGAUGGGUUUUUUUGUCCUGUCAGGAGCGACUUAAGAAACUGCAAGUCCCUUCUAGUGUGAGAGAAUUGGCCAUCUGCAAGGACACUUCCCAGGAGAUGCCCAGAUGUUUUACCAUCGUGGGAGGCUUCUCUUAUGUCCCCGCAUGGAAAGCUGGAGCUGACAGAUGAGAGCUCCCCCCCCCUAGAUUUGAACUGCUGACCUUUCAAUCAGCAGUCUUGUGCCACCAGGGGCUCCUAUUAUGCAAGGGUGACUACUAUGUGGUUUAGAUGCGCCAUUUAAAGGAAUUUUUUGAUCACAUAAUAGUCAAAGUGUGGCAGUCACACCCUUAGUUUACUCAUCCGGGUGAACUAAGAGUGCGACUAUGUAUUAUGCGGAGAAAAUAAGAAGUCCUAUUUUGUCUUCCCCAAAAGUGGAGGUGCAACUAUUACGUGACGAUGACUAUUAUGCAAUGAGACAUAGUAUGUUUUAUGCAGGUUUCACAUCCCCUAUCCAAAAUGUUUAGGACCAGAAGUAUUUUGUAUUUUGAACCCCCCUCCUUAUUUUGUUAUAUAUGUAUUUAUGCAAAUCUUGGAGAUGGGAAGUAAGUUUAAACAAAAUUCAUUUGUGUUCCAUUCAAGUUGAAUCUCUUCUGGUAUGCUUGGGACCAGAAAUAUUUCAGAUAUUUUCGGAUAUAUAUACUUGCAUAUAUAUAUAUAUAUAUAUAUAUAAUCUCAGAAAUGGGAACCAAGUCUAAACACAAAAUGGAUACAUGUUUCACACACACAUACAUAUCAUUUUAAUAACUUUGUACAGGUUAAAUGUUUGUGUACACUGAACCACCAAGAAAGCAAAGGUGUCACUUUCUCAGCCACCCCUGUGGACAAUUUUGAGUUUAGGGUAUUUGGGAUUUAGGAAUCCUGGGUAAUUAUAUUCAAUUUGUAAUAUCAAGGAGGCUGAGAAUUUAGGGAAGGAUGGUCAAAGGAAUCUAUCAGAACUGGAAUCCUUUCUAGCUGGAAAUCUUAUGGGUAAGCUGCACCAGUUAGGCACUCAAGAAGGAAUAUAAUGGGCUUUUCUAUGUUUUCAGGUGGACAGGUUCAGAAAUAUACCUACUUUUUGUCUCUUUUUCUUUAUUUGGCUUUCCCAAUGAAUUCAAAGGGGACAUUUCAUGAGUAUGAUUGUCAUGGUUUGCACAUUGGACUAGUGCUUGCAGACCAGGGUUCAAAUCCCUGCUCAGCCAUGGAAACUCACUGAGUGACCUCGCACAAGUCACACUCAGCCUCCAAGAAGGGCAAGGAUAAACCACUUCUGAACAAAUCUUGCAAAGAAAACCCUGUAAGAGGGUCACCUUAUGGUUACCAUAGGUCAGAAACAACCUAAAGGCAACCAACAGCGACUUCUGAGUAGUACAGUUCAGGAUUGUGGACAUAAAAGUCAUUCUCUAAUAUGUGAUGUGUGCAGAGCUACUAUUGUCAGUUUUUGGUUGAGGAAUUUUGGGUUCUUUUCUUUGUUCUGACAAAUGGUGCUUCGUUUCAUGUGCCAAUUUGUGUGUGUUUGAUGGACGUGAAAUGUGAGCCCUGUAAUGGCUAGAAUGUUUAUAUGUUGGAAUAAGGUUCCGAUAUUCAUGUGAAGUUCUGGAAUGUGCAGGGGUCAUACUGUAUCUCAUUAAACUACAGAUUCCAAGGUUCCACAGCAUGGAGCCAUGACAUUAAAAAAAACUACCCUGAUUGUAGUGUGGAUACACCCACUAUGCCUGCUUAUACUGUUCAGUGACUACUAGUCAUAAUGACUAUAUAUUACCUCCUGCACUGAAGAAUGACCCACAGAAUAUAUAAAAGAGAUAUUGACAAACUGGAAAGUGUCCAGAGAGCGGUGGCUAAAAUGAUCAAAGAUCUGGAUACCAUGUCCUAUGAAGAGUGUCUUAAAGAGCUGGCUCUUAAAUAGGAAGAAGAUUUAUGCAUUUUCUUGUCGUUGGCACAAAGACAGGAACAAGGCAGUAAUAAUCAGAAUGGCUUUGGAGACCACAGUGGAGUGGAACGGUUUACAGUCACCAUUAUGAUCAAUGAAAACUGGCACACAGCCGCUUUCUUUCUGCCUUCAGUGCAGUUAUGGAAUUUAAAUAAAACUGCCUCAAGGCAGCUGCAAAGAGUUACCAAGCUUUUUCAAAGAACACCAUAAUAUUAUGAAUUUGGUCUGGAAUUUUUUAAAAUGCCUUGUGAAACAGUAUCAUGUCUUUGCUUUGUUUUGUUUCUUUAAUCAAAUAAAUCCUGUAUCCUCAGCAAAGUGCAAUAUGCAAAAUGACUCUCUGGAGGAUGAGAGUGAAGAUUUUUGAUUGCUUCAUAAGAUUUCAGAAGGAAACAUUUUUGUAUUGUGAUGUUUUUGUUCUAGAAAAGCAAUAGGAAAGUUUUUCAUUUCUGUUUGGACUUCUCUUUGGUGCUGACUUCCGAUCUGCCCCUUUUAAAACAUCGUAUUUCAAAAUAGUGAAAUCUUCCUGCCAGAAACAAAUAAAAUUGUUCAGCUUGUACUUUCUAGAGAGCAGGAAAAAUUCAUUCAUUCAGAAGGAAUUGUUCUUUUCCUCCCAUCAAUGUGGUGUGAAGUGAAUAAAAGAUACUACCGUA